GGAGGUGGACGAGUGCCUGGUGGGCUCCCCGGUCUUCAAAACCGUGCGGCAUCCGGUGUUCGGGUGCGGGGGGUUCGAUUCCCUCCUGCCUCCGCCA
rnacentral:tRNA from 1 species